UUGUGGAAUAUGAAGACUUAAGCCACUGGGCAACUCUCCAGGAAGGACCACCUCUCUGUUCUCCACUACAGCGGUUCGAGAGCUGGCCGUUGGAAGCUCGUCUUCAGAGGAGGAGAAUCGGCCCAGGUGAGGGAGCCACCGCCAGCCCCCUGAAAGGGAAAGCCCUUCCGAGGGUCCAGAAUGCUUGGGCGCCACGCCCUGCGUGCCGAUUGGCCGUGGCCUAGCUAAGAAAGGGGAAGGUACCGGGAUCGGAAUGCGGAACACGGCAACCAGGAUGGAAAACACAGCAAAGAGCACGAAGAGAGGAGAGGUCUGGAUGGGGGACCUGGGUAGCCUCCGUGGGAUGAGCAUGUCCAGAAAUGGCUGUCUGUGCCAUCAGCCUUAUGGGGACCAACGUGGAUGACUAUUUGAAUGGUGGACGUUCAAGAAACAGUCCUCGGAAGGUGAUGAGGAAAUGCUAGCACCAACAAGCAGAUUCAAGCAUGCAUGGGGAAGG